UAGGGAAUCUUCGGCAAUGGACGAAAGUCUGACCGAGCAACGCCGCGUGAGUGAAGAAGGUUUUCGGAUCGUAAAACUCUGUUGUUAGAGAAGAACAAGGACGUUAGUAACUGAACGUCCCCUGACGGUAUCUAACCAGAAAGCCACGGCUAACUACGUGCCAGCAGCCGCGGUAAUACGUAGGUGGCAAGCGUUGUCCGGAUUUAGUGGGCGUAAAGCGAGCGCAGGCGGUUUCUUAAGUCUGAUGUGAAAGCCCCCGGCUAAACCGGGGAGGGUCAUUGGAAGCUGGGAGACAUGAGUGCAGAAGAGGGGAGGGGAAUUCGAAGUGUAGCGGUGAAAUGCGUAGAUAUAUGGAGGAACACCAGUGGCGAAGGAGGCACUCGGGACUGUAACUGACGCUGAGGCUCGAAAGCGUGGGGAGCAAAGAGG
rnacentral:rRNA from 1 species